rnacentral:rRNA from 1 species
GUCCUGGCCGUAAACGCUGAGCACUUGACGGGAGACUCCUCCAUAGGUUUCCGGUCGUAGCGAAAGUGAUAAGUGCUCCGCCUGGGGAGUAUGGCCGCAAGGCUGAAACUCAAAGGAAUUGACGGGGGCUCACACAAGCGGUGGAGGAUGUGGCUUAAUUCGAGGCUACGCGAAAACCUUAUCCUAGUCUUGACAUGCACGGAUCAACCCGGUGAAAGCCGGGCCACGCUCGCAAGAGUGGAACGUGCACAGGUGCUGCAUGGCUGUCGU